CCUUAUCGCGUAACCAGUUUUAUCAAGAUCGACUACUGAGUAGUAGCGAAACAAACUUGACAGUUGGUGCGUUCAUUGUUACAUUUUUGCUUAUUUUAAAACGAUUGUAAUCCAGUGAAAAGACAGAGAAACAAUCCUUAUAUCAUAUCGAACGUUAUACAAUAGUGUAGUGUCAUAUUAUUUCACGUUAAAGCGAUAGCAAGAAGAAAAUAGCCGGCGUGUGUUUUUACGCGCAAGUACGACGGUUUUGUCCCUAAAUAUAGGUUCUCAGUGAUUAUUAUUUAUGCCAUAGCAUAACAGAACCUUAUAUCGCAUUAAAAUUCUGAAGAUAAUAGGAUUUACCAGUUCUUAUCAUUCAUAACCUAUAAUUAUUUAUCAUAUUUCAUCUGAGAAAAAUACUAAUCCAGUGCCAUAUAAAGAUGCUGAAGGAUUGAUAACGAAAACAAA